AGGAAAAGAAACCAACAGGGAUUGCCUCAGUAACGGCGAGUGAAGCGGCAAAAGCUCAAAUUUGAAAUCCCCCCGGGGAGUUGUAAUUUGAAGAUUGCGUCUUGGAGGCGACCGUGUCUAUGUUCCUUGGAACAGGACGUCACAGAGGGUGAGAAUCCCGUGCGGCACGGCCCCCGGCUCCUUAUAAGGCGCUCUCGACGAGUCGAGUUGUUUGGGAAUGCAGCUCAAAGUGGGUGGUAAAUUCCAUCUAAAGCUAAAUACAGGCGAGAGACCGAUAGCGAACAAGUACAGUGAUGGAAAGAUGAAAAGCACUUUGAAAAGAGAGUGAAACAGCACGUGAAAUUGUUGAAAGGGAAGGGCAUGCCGUCAGAUUGUCAGUGUGGGUAAGAAGCGGGGUACAAAGACUGUGGAACGUGGCCCUCGGGUGUUAUAGCCGCAGUUCAUGCCCCGUCUCUUUCCGAGGCCUGCUUUGAGGACACCGACGUAAUGACGGUACGCCGCCCGU
rnacentral:rRNA from 1 species